GACGAACGCUGGCGGCGUGCUUAACACAUGCAAGUCGAGCGAGGUCCAUCCGGUGGCAACACCGGGGAAGACCUAGCGGCGAACGGGUGAGUAACACGUGAGCAACCUGCCCCGAAGACUGGGAUAACACCGGGAAACCGGUGCUAAUACCGGAUGCCCUCCUCUGGUCGCAUGGCCUAGGGAGGAAAUGAAUUUUGCUUCGGGAGGGGCUCGCGGGCUAUCAGCUUGUUGGUGGGGUAACGGCUCACCAAGGCGACGACGGCUAGCUGGUCUGAGAGGACGACCAGCCACACUGGGACUGAGACACGGCCCAGACUCCUACGGGAGGCAGCAGUGGGGAAUCUUGCGCAAUGGGCGAAAGCCUGACGCAGCAACGCCGCGUGGGGA
rnacentral:rRNA from 1 species